rnacentral:misc_RNA from 1 species
CAACCAAUCAAGCCUCGGCUUGGUCUUGGGGUUUGCGGUCCCGCAUCCCCUAAACUCAGUGGCGGUGCGAUUGAGCUCUGAGCGUAGUAAUUUUUUCUCGCUAUAGGGUCUCGAUCGUGACUUGCCAGUAACCCCCCAUUUUUAUCA